AGUCAUAUGCUUGUCUCAAAGAUUCAUCCAUGCAUGUCUCAGUAUAAGUCUUCGUACGGCGAAACUGCGAAUGGCUCAUUAAAACAGUUAUAGUUUAUUUGAUGGUCAAAUCGUUACUUGGAUAACUGCGGUAAUUCUGGAGCUAAUACAUGCACAAAGCCUCAACCUUACGGGAGAGGUGCUUUUAUUAGAUCAAAACCAAACGGCUUCGGCUGUACUCUUGGUGACUCUGAAUAACUUUGGGCUGAUCGCAUAGCCUUGCGCUGGCGACAUAUCCUUCGAAGGUGUGCCCUAUCAACUGUCGACUGUGGCAUAGACGCCCACAGUGGUUUUGACGGGUAACGGGGAAUCAGGGUUCGAUUCCGGAGAGGGAGCCUUAAAAACGGCUACCACAUCUAAGGAAGGCAGCAGGCACGCAAAUUACCCAAUGACCGAAGGUCGAGGUAGUGACGAAAAAUAACGAUAGCGGACUCUUCCGAGGCCCGCUAAUUGGAAUGAGUACACUUUAAAACCGUCCCCGAGGAUCUAU
rnacentral:rRNA from 1 species